AUAAGAUUAAUAAGAGCAUAUGGUGGAUGCCUAGGCUCUCAGAGGCGAUGAAAAGCGUGAUAAGCUGCGAUAAGCUACGGGGAAUGGCAAAUACAUUUUGAGCCGUAGAUUCUUGAAUGGGGUAACCUGAUACUUUGAAGAAGUAUCAUUCAUUUUUUAUAAAUGAAGGCAAACUCAGCGAACUGAAACAUCUAAGUAGCUGAAGGAAGAGAAAACAAUAGUGAUUUCGUUAGUAGUGGCGAGCGAAAGCGAAACAGCCCAAACCUUUUAUUUUAAGGAAUAAAAGGGGUUAUAGGAUUACUUUUUAUUUUGAUAUAAAAUGAAAUAGAAUGUUUUGGAAAACUCAAUCAUAGAAGGUGAAAAUCCUGUAUAUGUAAGUUUUAUAUCAAAUUUAGUAACACCUGAGUAGUUCGAGACACGAGAAAUCUUGAAUGAAUUUACCAAGACCAUUUGGUAAGGCUAAAAUACUCCUGAGAGACCGAUAGUGAACUAGUACCGUGAGGGAAAGGUGAAAAGUACCCUGAAUAAGGGAGUGAAAUAGUCCCUGAAACCGUAUGCUUACAAGCGGUCGGAGCCCUUUUAAGGGUGACGGCGUGCCUUUUGCAUAAUGAACCUACGAGUUAAUCUUCUCUAGCAAGAUUAAGUAUUUAAGAUAUGUAGUCGUAGCGAAAGCGAGUCUUAAUAGGGCGAUAGUUAGAGGAGUUAGACGCGAAACCGUGUGAUCUACCCAUGGACAGGUUGAAGUUUAGAUAACACUAAAUGGAGGACCGAACCAGUAGGCGUUGAAAAGCCUUUGGAUGAUCUGUGGGUAGGGGUGAAAGGCCAAACAAACUCGGAAAUAUCUCGUUCUCUCCGAAAUGCAUUUAGGUGCAGCGUUGACUAAUAGUUUUUUAGAGGUAGAGCUACUGAUUGGAUGACGGGGUUAUUACCUACCGAUUCCAGACAAACUCCGAAUACUAAAAAAUCUUUUUCAGCAGUGAGGGUAUGGAUGCUAAGGUCCUUAUCCGAGAGGGAAACAACCCAGAACAUCAGCUAAGGUCCCAAAAUAAAUACUAAGUUGAUCAAACGAGGUUCAAUUGCACAGACAGCUAGGAUGUUGGCUUGGAAGCAGCCAUUCAUUUAAAGAGUGCGUAACAGCUCACUAGUCGAGCGGUUCGGCAUGGAUAAUAAUCGGGCAUAAGCAUAUUACCGAAGCUAUGUUUUCUAUAUUUUUAAUAUAGGGAGGUAGGAGAGCAUUCUAGUAAGGUUGAAGUUUUUUCGUAAGGAAUUAUGGACAUGCUAGAAGAGAAAAUGUAGGUAUAAGUAACGAUAAAGCAAGUGAGAAACUUGCUCACCGAAAAGCUAAGGUUUCCUCAUCAAUGUUAAUCAGGUGAGGGUUAGUCGAGUCCUAAGAUGUAGCCGAAGGGCGAAAUUGAUGGAUAAACGGUUAAUAUUCCGUUACUACCUUAUAUUGCGAUGCGAUGACGAAACAGUGAUAAUCUCGCGUACAGACGGAAUUGUACGUUGAACAUUCUAGGUAUAAUAAUAAUAGGCAAAUCCGUUAUUAUUGCUGAAGAUGGAUAGUACCACAAUACUUCGGUAGAGUGGAUAGUAGAUGUAAUAGUUUCCAAGAAAAACCGCUAAGCUAUAGGUAUAAGGUACUCGUACCGUAAACCGACACAGGUAGCUGAGGAGAGAAUCCUAAGGUGCUCGAGUUAUUCAUGGUUAAGGAACUAGGCAAAAUUACCUUGUAACUUUGGAAGAAAAGGAGCCUCUUUUAUAGAGGUCGCAGUGAAAAGGCCCAGGCGACUGUUUAUCAAAAACACAGAACUCUGCUAAUUCGAAAGAAGAUGUAUAGGGUUUGACACCUGCCCGGUGCUGGAAGGUUAAGAGGAAGGGUUAGUUAUUUAUUUAGCGAAGCUCCUAAUUGAAGCCCCAGUAAACGGCGGCCGUAACUAUAACGGUCCUAAGGUAGCGAAAUUCCUUGUCGGGUAAGUUCCGACCCGCACGAAAGGCGUAACGAAUGGGGCACUGUCUCAACCAGAGACCCGGUGAAAUUGCAGUGACGGUGAAGAUGCCGUCUUACCCGCAGCAGGACAAAAAGACCCCGUGAAGCUUUACUAUAGCUUGACAUUGAGUUAGAGCUUGGUUUGUGUAGGAUAGGUGGGAGACAGAGAAGCUGGAUCGCUAGGUUCGGUGGAGUCAUUGGUGAAAUACCACUCUGAUCAAGUUUUGGCUCUAACCUUUGCCGUUAUCCGGGUCGGGGACACUGUCAGGCGGGUAGUUUGACUGGGGCGGUCGCCUCCCAAAAGGUAACGGAGGCGCGCAAAGGUUCCCUCAGGCUGAUUGGAAACCAGCCGUAGAGUGCAAAGGCAUAAGGGAGCUUGACUGCGAGACCUACAAGUCGAGCAGGUACGAAAGUAGGCCUUAGUGAUCCGGUGGUUCCGUAUGGAAGGGCCAUCGCUCAACGGAUAAAAGGUACUCCGGGGAUAACAGGCUAGUCUUGCCCAAGAGUUCACAUCGACGGCAAGGUUCGGCACCUCGAUGUCGGCUCGUCAC
rnacentral:rRNA from 1 species